CUUUGACAAGGUUAAAUUAUGUCCAAAACAUACUCCGUAGUUUGUGGUUUAAAAUGUGUGUUAAGGAUGAAAAUGAAAACAUCCCCGCUUAGCAAAUGGUGUCAUCCUCUUCUCUUCUUCUACUUCUCCACUGUACCUGCACCGCUCAGCACAACCGUCAUCCAGCACGAAACACACGCAGAGUGAGAACCCGUUAUGUAGUGUUGUGAAUCAACUUUGCUCCAAAGCUGUGUCUCACACUUCUUUCAUUUUACCUAGAGUUGUUCCGAAACCAUAUCGCCAUCUCCACAGGUGUUUCAGAGAAUUUGGCCGUACAUCCAACCGGCCCCACAACCACAGACCAUGUGUAACCACACCAGCCCAGGACCUCCACAUCCAUUAUCUUCACCUCCAAGAUCGUCUGAGACCAGCCACCCGGACAGCUGCUGCAACAAUCGGUGCAGCAACGGGUCCAACUGCAGAGGAAGGUGAAGAUAGAAUUGAAGACCACUCAGACUCAUUUCCGGCA
ensembl:lncRNA